AGACGAUCAAGUCUCCUAUCGCAAGGUGGAGGAUAAAACGAUUCAUGACCGACUGAAGCUUCCGUGCUUUAGUUAUCAUGAUUACGAGAAGUCCGUUUCCAAUUAACCCAACGAAAGCUGCUAUGGCAGCCAUCUUGACGAUACAUUCAAGAACGAUUGACGAUUACAAAUAUCAAAGCAAACCAGGAAUACUUCAGCGUCUAUGUAGGCUAGAGGACGAACAUGAUCGUAUCGUCUAGCUCCACCAGUAUCUAUAAUAUUAGCUCGAAACACACUGUACAUCAUGCUAUGAUCUCCCUUGUUCUGGUAGAUACUGGUGAGAUACGAGGACAGGGAAGUUGGCUUGUAGCUGCUCGGUAUCUUGAAGUCGCGAGUAAAAAAACCUCCAUUUUCAGACGUUGGAUUAAACUGAUGGCAUUUGGCAAUUAAAGUGGAUUUUCCUACUUCUGGAUCGCCAACUAAGACGAUGUUCAAAGGUAUAUAUAUAGAGGUCCCUGAGGCACUAGGAGCAGAGCUCCAUUUGCGCUGGUUAGCUGGUUCCUUCUCACCAGGUGUCCUCAAGAUGCCAUUUGGUAAUACUAC